rnacentral:rRNA from 1 species
UAUUGGACAAUGGGGGCAACCCUGAUCCAGCCAUCCCGCGUGUGCGAUGAAGGCCUUCGGGUUGUAAAGCACUUUUGGCAGGGAAGAAAAGGCUCUGGCUAAUACCUGGAGCUGCUGACGGUACCUGCAGAAUAAGCACCGGCUAACUACGUGCCAGCAGCCGCGGUAAUACGUAGGGGGGAAGCGUUAAUCGGAAUUACUGGGCGUAAAGCGUGCGCAGGCGGGUCGGGAAGAAGGAAGGGGAAUCCCAGGGCUUAAACUUGGAACUGCAUUCUUAACUGCCGGGCUAGAGUAUGUCAGAGGGGGGUAGAAUUCCGCGUGUAGCAGUGAAAUGCGUAGAGAUGCGGAGGAAUACCGAUGGCGAAAGCAGCCCCCUGGGAUAAUACUGACGCUCAUGCACGAAAGCGUGGGGAGCAAAC